rnacentral:lncRNA from 1 species
AUGACGAUCGAGCAACGUCGGUAGUAUGUUAAAUUAUUGCUAUGUCUUGCUUCAUCUCCUCCAUGCAAGUAGUUAGACACCAUCAAGCUUCAUCUGGAAAGCUUCUUCGUUCGCGACAGACUCCAUAGAAUAUCUCAUUGAACUUGUCCUUGGUGUAGAUCUCUGGUACCAGCUUGGUCUGUGUGAAUAAGUUAGCAUGUUCAGGAAGACAUAUGUAGCUUGGCUCAUCUCUCGAAGCUCUCUCCACAACUCUUAUGAUAUCCAUGUUGUGAGGACGAAUGCUGUUUCCAUCUAGAUCUCUGGCGUAUCCC